rnacentral:tRNA from 3 species
GGCGGAUGUAGCCAAGUGGAUCAAGGCAGUGGAUUUGUGAUC